CUUUGUGAAGUAGUAUGAACAUGAGACCUUGUAUGAGCUGGUCAGUCCGUGGAGCACAAAACAUAAGACUCGGUUAGCAAGUAUUUCGUUCUUAUUACAUGGCACACGUUUUCUGGCUUGUCUCUUACCCCAAAUACUAUGUCAGACUUCCGAUCAUAGAUGCGCAUAGGCUUUUUUGGAGCUUCAUCUAUUAUUUGUUUCAUUUGUGGCUAAGAAGGGAAGCCUUGUGGAUCAGCCUCUCCUUCAUGGCGCUACUCAUUCCAGAAGUUGAGCUAGGACUGACAAAGCACUGCAAUGUGUACUUGUAUGGCAGUGUGAGCAGUUCAGUUUGGGCAUGAUCAAAGCCUUUUUGCAAAAGAAAGCAACUGCUACGUCAAUCUCUGAUUACUUGUUCAGGGUAAGACUGGAAUUUCUUCUGGUAUCGAUCAGUUUGGUGAAGCAGGAAGACAGCUUUUUUACACUCCCUUUUCGGCGUCUGCAGCAAUUUUUUGUCAACGAUGAGUAGUGCUUCUCAUCGUGAUAUGAAUAGAUAACCUUUGUCUGUGCUUCUAGUUGCUGCCAUACUUUUGAACACUUGGAAUGCUAAUACACUACCUGUGAACUUUGCCGUCAUUAAUCGGUUACGACUUGCUCGCUGCGCACUGUAAAUGUUUGUUGUUUGCGUGCAUGUAGUAUCUUUCUGCUAGGUUUCAUGCUCUGGCGACUCUAAAGCUGCAUUCUCACAUUCUUCUGGGUCUGCUUGUCGUUUUUCUCGCCUUCUAACAAGGAGGAGUGUCUCGGACUUUUGGGGUCCUACGUGCUUUCUUCACACUGGGUGCUAGGUAAGACGGAUAGCCUUCAAAUAUGGUUGGAAGCGCACUGGGACCAGUUUUCUCAAUUUACAAUCACUGACAUAGUCACUCGCUAAAAAGCGCUUGCUGCAUACUGUAGUUGAGGGUGAUUUGUCGUUAAUUACGAGAUUCUUCCGCGAGAUGUUUCUUUGCCAUUUGUCAAACAGUUCCCGAUCAGCUGAAAACUGUUGAUACACUGGGAGUCUUUCCAGACCGCGACUGACAAAAUGGCACACAACAAUACACCAUAGCCACAAUCUUGAUAUGCGAAGCUUCACAAGUCUGUGAUGCUAGUAUCCAUGAAAAGUCAGAUGCAGAAACUUACUGUGAAACGUGACUUUGUCAACAAGUCAUGCGAAGCAUGCGGCAGGCUUGUAGAUCACUUCACAUGGCAAACCAUUCAUUCACGCAUUUAAACACAGUAAAAAUAAAAUAAACAAACGCAGCCCAUGGAAAAAUGCGCUCUCUUGCACUCCGACUUGUUCGAAACCGAGUCCGGCGCCGCCACAGCAAGGGUUGGCUCGUGGUGCCCUCUGGCAGAGAUCAUCAGCGCAGCAGCACAGAAAAAUAUGCAUUGCCUCCUCGAAGCCUGCUCAUGCUGUAAGGAGAGAGCAAGCGUGCGUGCCCAGACCGGCUGUGACUGUACUUUAAAAGUGCUUGCAAAGAAAAUUUGCUUACUAAGAUUUCUGACAAGCAGGCAAGCUGUAGGUCCAUGUGAUCAUCACUGCGUACACAAAGCUAUCUAGCUUUUUUAUCUACUUUAAGAGCAGCUGAAACUCGUAUUGCUUGUCAUGUGGUUUCUAUUUUCAUGCUCGUGUAUUGUUCUGGCAAUGGGGACAAUUGCAUGUUUUUUGUUGGGUUUAUUUUUUGCAAAAAGUAGGCAAAAAAUUAUUUAACUUGAUUCACCACUUUCCAGAGUGUAUAAAAGAAGAUUGGUUUCUUCUAGUGGAAAGGUGUUUGCACUAAUGUGCUGCAGGGUUUUUUUUUUUUCUUGUAAUAGGCAAUUUGCAAAGCCUGCAAGUGAGCUUCUACACACACCUCAUUUGAUCUAACCUAGAUAUGAACCUGAGGCUAGAAUUGUAAUUAUGGUUUCAUCGUGCUGGCUGGUAACAUCAUUCCUGCCGCCCUUGAUUUUCUGCAUCGUCUAAGCUUUCAAAAUAUGUAUCUCGGCUUUAACAAUACCACUUGCGAGAAUGCAGUCACCUCUGUUAGGGCAACUCAUAUGUGUUGGAAAGCUUGCUUAGAGAAUUUUGCAUAGUGCUUCACGAUGUGGAAUGCUCAAUCACCAAGCAUCCACCAGUUUGUGACCGUUGUGAAAAGGUACUCUCUCGGUGUUUAAAGGAGCAGGCUAACGAGUAUACACAAGAGAGGCCACAGGUCUGCAAGAGCACAACAAAUGGGAGAGGGUGUGAAGGUGCAACGUGGUGCAGCAACCCAAGCCGCUACAGCAAUGUGCGCACACAUCUGGCCUCAGUUAAGAGCAUCAUAGUUUUACAUAGCACAAUGGGUGAUUGACAUUGUUGUUCCAGCCUUGUAGCUAAAUGCACACACGUCAUGCUGUACUCAACAGUUAUAUAAUAAUAAGCCCAUGGCUGUUGUCGCAUUGCCCAUGUUCAGUUUGCAAGCAAUUCUAAUAUUUAUUUUGUUACUUUGCCGGCCAUUAAAGGUCUCAUCUGGCCUUAGAGCAUCAUGGUGUUACUGAAGCACGAUGGGUGAUGGGCAGUUUUGUAUUCAUCAACCUGCGCUGGGCAAUUAUUUAACAAGACUAUGGCUGCUGCCAUGUUGCCUCUGUUUAGCUGGUGGAGUAUUUGGUACAAUUCUUUUGUUUUCGUGGUGAUCAAAAGUUCCCUUACAUCAUAUUUGUGGUUGUGUCACGUUCGUGCCAAGACUGUACUAGCUGUCCUGCAUGCGCACUGUGUAUUAUUUUGUUUCCCUCUGAUGGUGCGAUUAUGUAGAUGUUUUAUUACCUCUACAGGACCUGCAGCUGUUGUGUUUACUCAAACAAAAUAACAUCAUCUUUUUUCUCAGGCUGACGGUUAUCAAAGAAUUGGGGAAUGUGUUGCAUAUGGAGGAGCAUUUGAAAUUAUGCUAAUGGUGAUCGAACAUUGUGCAUAGAAGAUGGUAUUCACACUUGGAAGAAACAUUCAAAUGCUGCAAAUAGACUUUUUAAAGUAGUAUUUAAAAAAAUGAGGGAUUGUGCUCAAAGUUUUAUAACUGAGAAAAUAUUUCACCGGUCUAAAAUAUGCUGGUAGACUUCUUGCAGCUGUGCUACACUAUUGUCUAAGCUGCCACUUGGUCAGCUUAUGAGUUAAUUUCUGGGGUCAUACAAACAAUAUCAUCAGAAAUUCUUUUAGUGGUUGAAGAGUCAGUAUUUAGAUUCUGUCUUUUUUCCUGUCAUCAUCUAAAGCUGUGUUGUUUCACACAGCUUCAUCAUCACUCAUGGUAUCCUAAAUGAGCUGAAUUGGCAUGCAUUUUCUUGCAUGCUUGAGUUAGUCAGCUAUGAUUUGUUGGCUUAUUGAAAUUAAAUGUGGUUGUCAAGCCUCAGUGCCUAGGAAAUGCUACUGUAAAAACAAUGUUCAAGCAUGUUAUCCUGUUUGAUGUUUUUAUUUUUUCCUUUCUAUAUCUUGACCAUCCACUGUUAUAGUUCUUGAUACAGCAGGCUAUGUUAGGUUAUUCACAUUAUAUUUGUGAAAAUCCAAGCAUAUUUGCUUGGUGUUUUUUGUAUCCAUGGGGCAAGCAAGCCAGGUGCUGUUGAGACCCACUCUAGUAAGAGAUUGUGUAUGUGUGCGAAACCUAGACAUUCAUAUUGCAUGCUUGUGAUCUAGGCUUUUUGAACAAGUAAAUGGUCCUGUGGCCACAUUAUAGUGUUA
rnacentral:lncRNA from 1 species